rnacentral:rRNA from 1 species
UACGAAGGGUGCAAGCGUUAAUCGGAAUUACUGGGCGUAAAGGGUGCGUAGGCGGUUGUUAAGUCUGUUGUGAAAUCCCCGAGCUCAACUUGGGAAUUGCAAUGGAUACUGGCAGGCUGGAGUAUGGUAGAGGAAGGUGGAAUUCCCGGUGUAGCAGUGAAAUGCGUAGAGAUCGGGAGGAACACCAGUGGCGAAGGCGGCCUUCUGGACCAAUACUGACGCUCAUGCACGAAAGCGUGGGGAGCAAACAGG